rnacentral:rRNA from 1 species
GCUUGUCUCAAAGAUUAAGCCAUGCAUGUCUAAGUGUAAAUAAGUCUAUACUGUGAAACUGCGAAUGGCUCAUUAAAUCAGUUAUCGUUUAUUUGAUGAUCUCUUACUACUUGGAUAACCGUAGUAAUUCUAGAGCUAAUACAUGCACAAAGGCCCGACUCACGAAGGGCUGUAUUUAUUAGAUUUAAAGCCGACAUCUUUUGGUGAUUCAUAAUAACUUUCAGAUCGAUCGCAAGAUCGAUGCAUCAUUCAAGUUUCUGCCCUAUCAGCUUUGGAUGGUAGGGUAUUGGCCUACCAUGGCUUUAACGGGUAACGGAGAAUUAGGGUUCGAUUCCGGAGAGGGAGCCUGAGAAACGGCUACCACAUCCAAGGAAGGCAGCAGG